GUCGUAACCCAGUUUCCGUAGGUGAACCUGCGGAAGGAUCAUUA
rnacentral:rRNA from 1 species